AGAGUUUGAUCCUGGCUCAGAUUGAACGCUGGCGGCAGGCCUAACACAUGCAAGUCGAGCGCGAAAGGCUUUCGGGCUGAGUAGAGCGGCGGACGGGUGAGUAACGCGUAGGAAUCUACCUGGUAGUGGGGGACAACUUGGGGAAACUCAAGCUAAUACCGCAUACGCCCUAUGGGGGAAAGUGGGGGACCUUCGGGCCUCACGCUAUCGGAUGAGCCUGCGUAGGAUUAGCUAGUUGGUGAGGUAAAGGCUCACCAAGGCGACGAUCCUUAGCUGGUCUGAGAGGAUGAUCAGCCACACUGGGACUGAGACACGGCCCAGACUCCUACGGGAGGCAGCAGUGGGGAAUAUUGCGCAAUGGGGGCAACCCUGACGCAGCCAUGCCGCGUGUGUGAAGAAGGCCUUCGGGUUGUAAAGCACUUUCACUUGGGAAGAAAAGCUGCAGGUUAAUAGCCUGUAGCCGUGACAUUACCUUGAGAAGAAGCACCGGCUAACUCCGUGCCAGCAGCCGCGGUAAUACGGAGGGUGCGAGCGUUAAUCGGAAUUACUGGGCGUAAAGCGCGCGUAGGCGGUUUGUUAAGUCAGCUGUGAAAGCCCCGGGCUCAACCUGGGAACUGCAGUUGAUACUGGCCGACUAGAGUACGAGAGAGGGAGGUAGAAUUCCAUGUGUAGCGGUGAAAUGCGUAGAUAUAUGGAGGAAUACCGGUGGCGAAGGCGGCCUCCUGGCUCGAUACUGACGCUGAGGUGCGAAAGCGUGGGGAUCAAACAGGAUUAGAUACCCUAGUAGUCC
rnacentral:rRNA from 1 species